rnacentral:rRNA from 1 species
GACGAACGCUGGCGGCGUGCCUAACACAUGCAAGUCGAGCGAAUGAAGUUCCUUCGGGAAUGGAUUUAGCGGCGGACGGGUGAGUAACACGUGGGCAACCUGCCUCAUAGAGGGGAAUAGCCUUCCGAAAGGGAGAUUAAUACCGCAUAAGAUUGUAGUAUCGCAUGAUACAGCAAUUAAAGGAGCAAUCCGCUAUGAGAUGGGCCCGCGGCGCAUUAGCUAGUUGGUGAGGUAACGGCUCACCAAGGCGACGAUGCGUAGCCGACCUGAGAGGGUGAUCGGCCACAGUGGGACUGAGACACGGCCCAGACUCCUACGGGAGGCAGCAGUGGGGAAUAUUGCACAAUGGGGGAAACCCUGAUGCAGCAACGCCGCGUGAGUGAUGACGGCCUUCGGGUUGUAAAGCUCUGUCUUCAGGGACGAUAAUGGCGGUACCUGAGGAGGAAGCCACGGCUAACUACGUG